AUAUUUGUUGACAUGUUGUUAAAUUAGUACCCUUGAAAGUAUGCCGAAUUAUCUAUUGGUAGUUGAUGUUUGCAAUGUCCUCAUGUAUGUACAGACAAGUAUUACUGGAUCACUUAAAUACAGAAGAAAACAUAAAAACGUGAUGAUUCUUAGGCGACUUCUGGAGUCACGAAGGAGCGUCUUUUCCUUAUGAUGUCUAAGUGGAUUUGUGGACUUUCAUUUUUUCAUCAUGGACAUCGGAGAUAAGCUGAUGAUAUCCUCGGAAAGUGUAAGUCUAAAUCUAAAUCUACAAAUAUAGGCCUAUGUGUCAUGUCUGUGUGUUCAUGGGCCAGCCUUGGGUUUACUAAAUUGAGGAUUAUGUGGUUUGGGAUACCUCCUGUGAUACCUGUAUACACCACCAGAAGCCAACAGGAGAGCAGAUAUCAAAAAGUUGGAUGGAGGUUGGUGUGUAAAGAGAAGAAAUAUGAAAGACGGAUCAGUCGCAUUACUGGAUUCUCAUUGGCUGACAACACUGUGUUUUUUCGUAAGAGUAGAAAACCAGGGACCAAUCAGGUGCAUUUAAUGAUAGGGUACGUCACCGCUUGAACGUCCAGUUGAGUGGAGCAGUGCGUCCACUAGUGUCCUCGCUGGACCAUGUACCGCUGGAUUUAACAUUA